GGAGGUGUUGCUGAGUGGUUGAAAGCUUUGGUUUGCUA
rnacentral:tRNA from 1 species